rnacentral:rRNA from 1 species
ACGAACGCUGGCGGCAUGCCUAACACAUGCAAGUCGAACGCGACCUUCGGGUCUAGUGGCGCACGGGUGCGUAACGCGUGGGAACCUGCCCUUAGGUUCGGAAUAACUCCCCGAAAGGGGUGCUAAUACCGGAUAAUGUCUUCGGACCAAAGAUUUAUCGCCUUUGGAUGGGCCCGCGUUCGAUUAGCUAGUUGGUAGGGUAAAAGCCUACCAAGGCGACGAUCCAUAGCUGGUCUGAGAGGAUGAUCAGCCACACUGGGACUGAGACACGGCCCAGACUCCUACGGGAGGCAGCAGUGGGGAAUAUUGGACAAUGGGCGAAAGCCUGAUCCAGCAAUGCCGCGUGAGUGAUGAAGGCCUUAGGGUUGUAAAGCUCUUUUACCCGGGAUGAUAAUGACAGUACCGGGAGAAUAAGCUCCGGCUAACUCCGUG